rnacentral:rRNA from 1 species
GACGUAGGAUGCAAGCGUUGUCCGGAUUUAUUGGGCGUGAAGAGUUCGUAGGCGGUUUGUUAAGUCUGAUGUUAAAGACUGGGGCUCAACCCUUGGAGUGCAUUGGAUACUGGCGGACUGGAGUACAGUAGAGGCAAGCGGAAUUCCCAGUGUAGCGGUGAAAUGCGUAGAUAUUGGGAAGAACACCGGUGGCGCAGGCGGCUUGCUGGGCUGUAACUGACGCUGAGGAACGAAAGCUAGGGUAGCGAAUGGG